rnacentral:lncRNA from 1 species
AGAGGCCCUGCUAUAAUCAUGUCAUCUUCAGGGACUUAAGACCCAUCAUGCUGGACUUAGGGUAUCAGAUCCUAAGCAUGUACCUCCACAGCCGUGUGAGGACUCUGGGACAAGGGCUGGGACACCGGAAAAAUCUUACUAAGUGGUGUCUAACUGGCCCACCAGACAGAGAGAAGGGGAUCCAAGUCGGAAGCCUCCUGAGAUGAGGCCUGAAAGCCACACAGAAGAGCUGAGGCCCUUGGUACCCAGUGCAGGCUGCUUUCCAGGCUGCCCACCCUGGGUCUCUGUCCAAAGAUGCACCAAGUCCUACACUGGGCACUGUGUGCUCCCAACACACCUGCGUGUGCCAUGCUUGCCUCAAGCCUUAGAUGUCCCAGGGACUCCAGGGUGUGCACACUCUUGUGAGCCCAUGUGCAUACUUGAUGACUGGUGACACCAAAAAGGGAUUUUCACUGGAUGGCCAGGGGCAGACUGAUGCUCUAAUCUCCUGGGUCAGGGUGCCUGGCAGGGUCUCCCCGGCGGUCCUACCUGCAAACACCGCGGAGCAGUAGGCAUCGCUGAUGUCGGAGUCCGGGGUGUGGACGUUCUCCGCAAAGAGGAUGAAGACUCGCAGCAUCGCGAAGCUGGAGGGGC